GUCUACGGCCAUGCCACCCUGAACAAGCCCGAUCCCGUCUUAUCUCGGAAGCUAAGCAGGGUCAGGCCUGGCCAGUACUUGGAUGGGAGACCAUCUAGGAAGACCAGGUUGCUGUAGGCA
rnacentral:rRNA from 1 species